GAUGGGAAUUUAAACCUCUUCCAGAGUAUCAAUUGGAGGGCAAGUCUGGUGCCAGCAGCCGCGGUAAUUCCAGCUCCAAUAGCGUAUAUUAAAAUUGUUGCAGUUAAAAAGCUCGUAGUUGAAUUUCUGCUGCAUUGCUUGUGUCCCUCUGGGGUCUGUGCAUGUGGCUUUUUUCGGACGGAGUUUCUUUGUCUGAAUGUUUACUUUGAGAAAAUUAGAGUGCUCAAAGCAGGCUUUCGCCUUGAAUAGUUUAGCAUGGAAUAAUAAAGUAGGACUUUGGUUCUAUUUUGUUGGUUUUAGGUACCAAAGUAAUGGUUAAUAGGAACAGUUGGGGGCAUUCGUAUUUAACUGUCAGAGGUGAAAUUCUUAGA
rnacentral:rRNA from 1 species